AUACGUAGGUGACAAGCGUUAUCCGGAUUUACUGGGCGUAAAGGGCGUGUAGGCGGUCUUGCAAGUCAGAAGUGAAAUUCCUGAGCUCAACUCGGGCGCUGCUUCUGAAACUGCAGGACUUGAGUGCUGGAGGGGAUAGCGGAAUUCCUAGUGGAGCGGUAAAAUGCGCAGAUAUUAGGAAGAACGCCGGUGGCGAGGGCGGCUAUCUGGGCAGUAACGGACGCUGAGGCGUGAAAGCGUGGGGAGCAAACAGGAUUAGAUGCCCUGUUAUUCCACGCCGUAAACGAUGAAUACUAGGUGUAGGGGGUAUCGACUCCCUCUGUGCCGCAGUUAACACAAUAAGUAUUCCGCCUGGGGAGUACGGCCGCAAGGUUGAAACUCAAAUGAAUUGACGGGG
rnacentral:rRNA from 1 species